rnacentral:rRNA from 1 species
UGGGGAAUUUUGGACAAUGGGCGAAAGCCUGAUCCAGCAAUGCCGCGUGUGUGAAGAAGGCCUUCGGGUUGUAAAGCACUUUUGUCCGGAAAGAAAUCCUUGGCUCUAAUACAGUCGGGGGAUGACGGUACCGGAAGAAUAAGCACCGGCUAACUACGUGCCAGCAGCCGCGGUAAUACGUAGGGUGCAAGCGUUAAUCGGAAUUACUGGGCGUAAAGCGUGCGCAGGCGGUUUGCUAAGACCGAUGUGAAAUCCCCGGGCUCAACCUGGGAACUGCAUUGGUGACUGGCAGGCUAGAGUAUGGCAGAGGGGGGUAGAAUUCCACGUGUAGCAGUGAAAUGCGUAGAGAUGUGGAGGAAUACCGAUGGCGAAGGCAGCCCCCUGGGCCAAUACCGACGCUCAUGCACGAAAGCGUGGGGAGCAAACAGGAUUAGAUACCCUGGUAGUCCACGCCCUAAACGAUGUCAACUAGUUGUUGGGGAUUCAUUUCCUUAGUAACGUAGCUAACGCGUGAAGUUGACCGCCUGGGGAGUACGGUCGCAAGAUUAAAACUCAAAGGAAUUGAC